rnacentral:rRNA from 1 species
AGUGAACGCUGGCGGUAUGCCUAACACAUGCCAGUCGAACGGCAGCACAGUAAGAGCUUGCUCUUACGGGUGGCGAGUGGCGGACGGGUGAGGAGUACAUCGGAAUCUACUUUUUCGUGGGGGAUAACGUAGGGAAACUUACGCUAAUACCGCAUACGACCUACGGGUGAGAGCAGGGGAUCUUCGGACCUUUCGCGAUUGAAGGAGCCGAUGUCGGAGUAGCUAGUUGGCGGGGUAAAGGCCCACCAAGGCGACGAUCCGUAGCUGGGCUGAGAGGAUGAUCAGCCACACUGGAAAUGAGACACGGUCCAGACCCCGACGGGAGGCAGGAGUGGGGAAUAUUGGACAAGGGGCGCAAGCCUGAUCCAGCCAUACGGCGUGGGUGAAGAAGGCCUUCGGUUGUAAAGCCCUUUUGUUGGGAAAGAAAAGCAGCAGGUUAAUACCCCGCUGUUCUGACGGUACCCAAAGAAUAAGCACCGGCUAACUUCGUG